AAAUUGUACACAUGAAUAGGAAGGAACCUUGACGUGGUUCAUGUGCUUUAAACAAAUACCUUCCAGACAGAUACAUUCUCACCCGUUGUACUGUGAGUGAUAAAUGUUGACAUUGAGUACAUUGUAGUUAUCAAGAAUAGCUAGCAUAGUGGUACUCGACGACAAGAUCGUAGGGUCUUCUACGAUUCCCCGUGCUCUUUAAUUUUUUAAUAACGACCAUUAUAUAUAUAUUUUUUUUAUUAUUUUAUAUUUGUAUUUUAAGUAUUGUAACGAAAUGCUUAUUUAAAAUGUAAUAAAAAGAACAACAACAAAAAAAAUGUCUGUGGUUCGAGACCUGCCUCUUCCUGAACUUUUUUUUUUUUUUUUUUACACACGCAUACAGCCGAAUGGUAAUAAAAUAAAAC